rnacentral:ncRNA from 1 species
CCUUAUUAAGAGCGGUGGAGGGACUAGGCCCGAAGAAGCCCGGCAACCUUAUCUUUGCGGCAGCAGACGCUGCAUACAGAGAUAGAUGGUGCUAAAUCCUACAGAAUUAUUCUGAAAGAUGAGG